UGGCUCAGAUGGUAAAGCAUUCGCCUGCAAUGCGGGAGACCCAGGUUCGAUCCCUGG
rnacentral:tRNA from 1 species